GAUCUUUUUGUGUAAAAGGUGUUUGAGAAAAAGCCGAGCCCAUCUUGAUGUGUUUUAAUUUUAGGAAGUGUAGGUAACCUGAACCAAUCACUGACAAUCAAUCUGAGUCUCCCAAUUCCGGCACUCCUUCCUCAAUCAAUCCCUUUGAUCUUCUCAACGACCAAGAUGACCCUUAUGACCAGGUGUAAGUCAAUUCAAAGACAAAUGGAGAGAAUACAAGAAAUCAAGAAAACUGAAAAGAAAAUGAUAUCCUUGUUUUCUGUCGAAGAGGUGAAUGUGGGGCCGUGGCUGCUAGAAAUCAGAUAAAAAUUCUGUGGAAGGAUGAUGACUACAUUGAACCCUGUUGAGCUUUUACCAGCAAGUUCAAUUCGUUGAUGUCAUUGAUGAUUGAAUCAUGGUUGUGAUAUCAUUAUUUUCAACUAUCAUUGAAUUAUGUUUGUAAAUGAGUUGUAUUGUUUCCAAGAGAGGUGGCACAGACUAAAUUCAGUUCUUUAUAUAUUAUCAAUAUUGAUGCUUUAGUUUGUCAAUUUGAUCAUACUGUUUUGUGUAAAGAACAAUGCCUAGAGUAGUGUUCUUGCUGCAUAUUCUCAGUCUA